GUAGGUGGCAAGCGUUGUCCGGAAUUAUUGGGCGUAAAGCGCGCGCAGGUGGUUCUUUAAGUCUGAUGUGAAAGACCCCCGGGCUCAACCGGGGAGGGUCAUUGGGAACUGGGGAACUUGAGUGCAGGAGAGGAAAGUGGAAUUCCACGUGUAGCGGUGAAAUGCGUAGAUAUGUGGAGGAACACCAGUGGCGAAGGCGACUUUCUGGCCUGUAACUGACACUGAGGCGCGAAAGCGUGGGGAGCAAACAGGAUUAGAUACCCUGGUAGUCCACGCCGUAAACGAUGAGUGCUAAGUGUUGGGGGGUUUCCGCCCCUCAGUGCUGCAGCUAACGCAUUAAGCACUCCGCCUGGGGAGUACGGUCGCAAAGACUG
rnacentral:rRNA from 1 species